UACGUAGGGUGCAAGCGUUGUCCGGAAUUAUUGGGCGUAAAGAGCUCGUAGGCGGUCUGUCGCGUCUGCUGUGAAAACCCGCGGCUCAACUGCGGGCUUGCAGCCGAUACGGGCAGGCUAGAGUUCGGUAGGGGAGACUGGAAUUCCUGGUGUAGCGGUGAAAUGCGCAGAUAUCAGGAGGAACACCGGUGGCGAAGGCGGGUCUCUGGGCCGAUACUGACGCUGAGGAGCGAAAGCGUGGGGAGCGAACAGG
rnacentral:rRNA from 1 species